GAUAAACGCUGGCGGCGUGCCUAAUGCAUGCAAGUCGCACGGAGUGUCCUUUCGGGGGCGAUUGAGUGGCGAACGGGUGAGGAACGCGUGGAGAACCUACCCCGGCGUGGGGGAGUACCCGCCAGAAAUGGUGGCUAAUACCGCGUACGGUCCAGGGGCGAGAGGCCAUCUGGAAGAAAGCAGUGAUGCGCGCUGGGAGGGGUCUGCGCCCGAUUAGCUGGUUGGCGGGGUAACGGCCCACCAAGGCGGUGAUCGGUAGCUGGUCUGAGAGGAUGAUCAGCCACACGGGGACUGAGACACGGCCCCGACUCCUACGGGAGGCAGCAGCAAGGAAUUUUCCGCAAUGGGGGCAACCCUGACGGAGCAACGCCGCGUGACGGAUGACGCCUCUUGGGGUGUAAACGUCUUUUGCCGAGGGAGAGCAUGGACGGUACUCGGCGAAUCAGGACCGGCUAACUACGUGCCAGCAGCCGCAGUAAG
rnacentral:rRNA from 1 species